AUUGCACGCUGGCGGCAGGCCUAACACCUGCAAGUCGAACGAGUGGCGGACGUGUGAGUACUGUCUGGGAAACUGCCUGAUGGAGGGGGAUAACUACUGGAAACGGUAGCUAAUACCGCCUACCACCAGACGUGCCCAGAUGGGAUUAGCUAGUUGGUGGGGUACCGCAUCACCAAGGCGACGAUCCCUAGCUGGUGUGAGAGGAUGACCAGGCAAACUGGAACUGAGACACGGUCCAGACGCGUACGGUAGGCAUCAGUGGGGAAGAUGGCACAAUGGGCGCAAGCCUGAUGCAUCGAUGCCGCGUGUAGUAAGAAGGACUUAGGGUUGUAAAGUACAUUCAGCUGGGAGGCGUUACCCGCAGAAGAAGCACCGGCUAACUCCGUGCCAGCCGCCGCGGUAAUAC
rnacentral:rRNA from 1 species